rnacentral:rRNA from 1 species
CGUUGUUCGGAAUUACUGGGCGUAAAGCGCGCGUAGGCGGCUUUGUAAGUUAGAGGUGAAAGCCCGGAGCUCAACUCCGGAACUGCCUUUAAGACUGCAUCGCUUGAAUCCGGGAGAGGUGAGUGGAAUUCCGAGUGUAGAGGUGAAAUUCGUAGAUAUUCGGAAGAACACCAGUGGCGAAGGCGGCUCACUGGACCGGUAUUGACGCUGAGGUGCGAAAGCGUGGGGAGCAAACAGG